rnacentral:rRNA from 1 species
AACAAGUGCCGUUCAAAUAGGGCGGCACCUUGACGGUACCUAACCAGAAAGCCACGGCUAACUACGUGCCAGCAGCCGCGGUAAUACGUAGGUGGCAAGCGUUGUCCGGAAUUAUUGGGCGUAAAGGGCUCGCAGGCGGUUUCUUAAGUCUGAUGUGAAAGCCCCCGGCUCAACCGGGGAGGGUCAUUGGAAACUGGGGAACUUGAGUGCAGAAGAGGAGAGUGGAAUUCCACGUGUAGCGGUGAAAUGCGUAGAGAUGUGGAGGAACACCAGUGGCGAAGGCGACUCUCUGGUCUGUAACUGACGCUGAGGAGCGAAAGCGUGGGGAGCGAACAGGAUUAGAUACCCUGGUAGUCCACGCCGUAAACGAUGAGUGCUAAGUGUUAGGGGGUUUCCGCCCCUUAGUGCUGCAGCUAACGCAUUAAGCACUCCGCCUGGGGAGUACGGUCGCAAGACUGAAACUCAAAGGAAUUGACGGAA